rnacentral:rRNA from 1 species
GAUGAACGCUAGCGAUAGGCUUAACACAUGCAAGUCGAGGGGCAGCACAAGGUAGCUUGCUAUCUGGGUGGCGACCGGCGCACGGGUGCGUAACGCGUAUGCAACUUGCCCUAUACAGGAGGAUAACCCGUCGAAAGACGGACUAAUACUGCGUAUGCUCACAACUUGGCAUCCAGUGGUGAGGAACGAAAUUCGGUAUAGGAUAGGCAUGCGUCCCAUUAGCUUGUUGGUGAGGUAACGGCUCACCAAGGCAACGAUGGGUAGGGGAACUGAGAGGUUUAUCCCCCACACUGGUACUGAGACACGGACCAGACUCCUACGGGAGGCAGCAGUGAGGAAUAUUGGUCAAUGGGCGCGAGCCUGAACCAGCCAAGUCGCGUGAAGGAUGACUGUCUUAUGGAUUGUAAACUUCUUUUAUACGGGAAUAACAAGAGUCACGUGUGACUCCCUGCAUGUACCGUAUGAAUAAGCAUCGGCUAACUCCGUG